AGCUUUUUCAACUUUAGUUCCAUAUGCAUUUAUGAAUAGAAGGUUCAACAUGAGACCUAUCUUUCGAUCCAAAUGCUAGCAAGAAUCCAGCAUGUGGUUAUGCAAAAAACCACAUAUCACUAACCAUAUCAACUAAUUUUGAGGAUGUAGUGUUGCCCAAAUAUAUUUAGUCUCAAAGUUUGUAAAACACAUUCAAUCAAACUAACUUAUUUCACAAUAAUUUUUUUUCCCUAAACCUAAUAAAUAUCAUGCAUACACAAUACAAUUCAUUCUAAUCAAUAUUUUUAUGUGUAUAUAUGUUUUGAACUUAGUACUACCUGCAAGCAUAUUCUUAAAGCUUAGUUUUAACUUAGUACUACCUGCAAGCAGGAUACUAAAAUAAGUCUGCCUUCUCUUGAAUACUUCAUUAUGGUUUGUUAGAAGAUACUUUUUCAUAUUCAAUACACUAAUUCAAAUUCAAACAAACCUCUUUCAUAUAAAUAUAGCUUGAUCAAAAAGACUAAUCUAAAGCAAAUGGUGAACAGAGGCAUCACAAAAAACUAAAUUGAAGAGAAAAAUGAAAUGUGGAAAUGAACGUUGAAGAAAUUGCAUAAAUAUAGUAAAUAGCAAUGUAAAUAUACCUUUAAACUCUUCACAGAAACAACAAAACCAUGAGAGUGAAACCCUCUUGAAAGCAGCAACUACAAAUACCAUGAGAGCAGUAACUACAAAUACCAUGAGAGCAGUAACUACAAACGUUGCUGCUUUCAAAGAAAAAAUUCUAGAAAAAAAAUCAUGUAAAUUAGGGAGAGAGAAUAUCUACCUCCAAAUUCAUCAAACUAAAGCUAAUACUGAUAAAUGAUGUACCUUUUUCCUCAAAUUCAUGAGUAACAGUCUCUGAUUGCACAAAAAAAAACUAUGUGAGAAAUGAAGAAACAACUAAUUACUACUCAAAUCAGAUUAUAAUAUUCACAAAAAACUGAAAUCAAACACAACUCAGAAGGGGAAAAUUGAAAAAUUCAAAGUUCAGAAAACUUACCAAAUCAAACCCUAAUUUGUGAAACAAUAAAACAUUGGGAGAAAAAAAAAUCAAAAUUAGAAUAUGAAAUCAAAUCAUGAAAUAAGGAAGGGAUUAAGAAGCAAGUUGAAACCUUACUAUUUGAAGAAGCCACUGGAGGGGGAUGUUCUUAAAACCGGUCGGAGGAUUUGAUUGAGAAGAGAACUUAAUUUUGCAAAUAUAAACAGAAAAUUAGACAUCAAUGAGAAAGAAAGUGAUGGCGGCGAACGUGGUGGUGGUGGUGAAGAUAUCGGAGAGAAUGAGAGAGAGCUGAUGAGAGAAGAAUUGAAAUCCAUGAGAAAGAAAGUGAGUUAUGAUAUUGAGGAGAGGGAGAAUUUGAAAUUUGAAAUUGAUUCUAACCUAACAUGUAUCCAGAGUCCAGACUGAGGUUUUUGGAUUCUAGCCUGCUUCCUGCAGUAUGUGAAACCGUGAAAGGGACGGCUCAAAGGAAGGUAUUCUUGCUUCUUUGUUUUUCUGUUUGGCUUGAAGCUUUUCUAUGUUCAAGGACUGGGCUUUGCUGGGCCAGAUUAUGUUAGACUCAAUGUAUUUGACCCAAUUUUACAUAGAAGAGGAGGGAAAAACAAUUCAAAACAUUGCCCAAAAGAAGCAUGUUUUUUGUCCUUUUCCAGCUAGGAUUUUACUCUGCAUUGCUGUGAGCUUGACAUGUGUCAAAACUUACCCUACAGCUGUGUUGGAUGUGUGUAGUUAUAAAGAUAUU
rnacentral:lncRNA from 1 species